ACGCUCGACACCUAGGAGGCAGCAGUGGGGAAUAUUGCACAAUGGGGGAAACCCUGAUGCAGCGACGCCGCGUGAGCGAAGAAGUAUUUCGGUAUGUAAAGCUCUAUCAGCAGGGAAGAUAAUGACGGUACCUGACUAAGAAGCUCCGGCUAAAUACGUGCCACAGCCGCGGUAAUCUGAGCGGGCUGGCAAGGC
rnacentral:rRNA from 1 species